AAGGAGCUAGGAGGUGACUUGAAGGCCCUCCACUUGGGUGAAUCCCCCUUCACUUGGGUGAAUCCCUUGUAUAAACAAGGAUGAGCUUCAAGGGUAAUGAAUCUCUAAACCCUUCCUUCUCUUUAAUAUUGUUAAAGAGCCUUGUGGUUCACCAUUCACUAGGCUUUGAAAGUCAUGGGUUUUAGAAUUGUUUUUGAAUGCAUGCCUACUUUAAUGUGUUAUUAGUUUGCAUAUGUGUUCAAAUGUUCUCACAUGUUCUUAGCUAGGACAAAAUUUUUCCUUCAAGUGGUAUCAGAGCCUAGGUCUAGUUUAUGGUGAAUCCUUUUGGAUUUUUUGUUUUUCAUGGUUUGUGAUUUAAAUGUUGUAAAUGUUACAAGCUUUGUUCUUGCUUUUGAAUAUAAAUUUUGCUUGAAAAUUUAGCAUCUAAAAUGUUGUAGAUGUAUUUCAUUUAAGCAUGAACAUUGGACCUAAAAUUUGGUGUCAUGUAUGUGGGGAAAUUCGGCCAAAUCCAAAGGGUGGAUUUUUGGGUUCAUGUUUGUCUUGUUAAAAUAGUUUUAAAGUGACUUUUGGAACCCCUAAGUACCCUAGGAUGUUAACCCUCUUUUGUGUAGUGAAAAUUUGAGUUAAAUUUGAGUUUUAUUGAGUGAAAACAUUCAUGGAGCUCUUAUGAGUUUUCAUGUGUGUUCUUCAAUGUUCUUGAUGUUCUUACCAAGAACAAAAAGUUUUGGUGUUUUGAUUCAAUUUGUUUGUUGCUUUGCAUAAAGUUUUGGUUUGUUAUUGAUUGGUGAUGGAUGAUUUGUGUCUUUAUUGUUUGACUAAGCCUUUCUUACAACCCAUACCAAUCAAACCUUUUCAACCAUACCAAUCACCUUUUCAACCCAUAUCUUUCACUUUUUCAACACUCUUUAAAAUUUUGAAUUUUCACCAAAACCAUUCUGCCUUUUUCACUACCAAAACUGGCCACCCUACAAAGUAGGGUACUUUUGGGGCCUUUAUUCAAUUACAUAAAGUUUUGAUACUUUUGUGUAUUUAUACUUUGGCCCAAAAGUUUACGUUUUUACGUAAAGACCCAAAAUCACUAAAGGACAAAUUGUUUUGCUCCUUUAAUGAAGUUUUUGUUAUUGUUGAAAUUUUGGGUUCUAGUUGUAAUUACAUGAAGUUGUGGACUCUUGUGUUUUUACAAAGUGACCCCAAAAGUUUAUGUUUUAACAUUGUGGCCCAAUAGUUGUGGUCAUUGUUUUUCGGCCCAAAAGAUGAUGAGAACAAAAUGGGUUUGUCUCUUUAAUGAGAAUUGGAUUUUCAUUUCAUUUAGUUCAAUUUAAAUCAAUUCUAUGAAUCCGGAAACCAAUUGUUUAAGUUGCUUUCUUAGUUAAUAUGAUUGAUUAAGAAAAGGGUGAUUAUGAACCAAAGGCCUCGAUAAUUGAGCUAUGUGAUUGGCCACUUUACAUUAUGAAUGCUUGGGUUAAGUAGUUUAGAUUUGAAUGUAAUUU
rnacentral:lncRNA from 1 species